AUACGUAGGGUGCAAGCGUUAAUCGGAAUUACUGGGCGUAAAGCGUGCGCAGGCGGUUUUGUAAGACAGAGGUGAAAUCCCCGGGCUCAACCCGGGAACUGCCUUUGUGACCGCAAGGCUAGAGUACGGCAGAGGGGGAUGGAAUUCCGGGUGGAGCGGUGGAAUGCGUAGAUAUGCGGAGGAACACCGAUGGCGAAGGCAAUCCCCUGGGCCUGUACUGACGCUCAUGCACGAAAGCGUGGGGAGCAAACAGGAUUAGAUACCCUGGUAGUCCACGCCCUAAACGAUGUCAACUGGUUGUUGGGUCUUCAUUGACUCAGUAACGAAGCUAACGCGUGAAGUUGACCGCCUGGGGAGUACGGCCGCAAGGUUGAAACUCAAAUGAAUUGGCGGGG
rnacentral:rRNA from 1 species